AUUGAACGCUGGCGGCAGGCCUAACACAUGCAAGUCGAGCGGAUGAAGGGAGCUUGCUCCUGGAUUCAGCGGCGGACGGGUGAGUAAUGCCUAGGAAUCUGCCUGGUAGUGGGGGAUAACGUCCGGAAACGGGCGCUAAUACCGCACACGUCCUGAGGGAGAAAGUGGGGGAUCUUCGGACCUCACGCUAUCAGAUGAGCCUAGGUCGGAUUAGCUAGUUGGUGGGGUAAAGGCCUACCAAGGCGACGAUCCGUAACUGGCCUGAGAGGAUGAUCAGUCACACUGGAACUGAGACACGGUCCAGACUCCUACGGGAGGCAGCAGUGGGGAAUAUUGGACAAUGGGCGAAAGCCUGAUCCAGCCAUGCCGCGUGUGUGAAGAAGGUCUUCGGAUUGUAAAGCACUUUAAGUUGGGAGGAAGGGCAGUAAGUUAAUACCUUGCUGUUUUGACGUUACCAACAGAAUAAGCACCGGCUAACUUCGUG
rnacentral:rRNA from 1 species